GCAGUAAGGCUCAGUGGUAGAGCGCAAGACUUCUGAUCUUGAGAUUUGGGUUCGAUUCCCAAUACUGCA